UGCAUCCUAUUCAUACCUUUCUUUACUUUAUCUUUAUGCACUAGUUAUCUCAAUAGUUUAUAAUUUAGACUUAGCUUUUGCAGGAUUAGUAGCUUGCUAUAAGUUUGGGUUCUUCUUUCCGUGAGGUGGGCAGUGAGUUGCUAAGGGGAUGGUGAUGAUGAUUUGGCAGCGGAUGUCCAUUCUCCUAGUGAUAACCGUGUAUCAUCCAAUGACAGACAUUAGACGACAAUGACGUAGACAGUGGGCCUUAUUUUGGAGUAACUACCUGGACAUUUUGAUAUUUAUAAUAAAGUUUCAAACUUUGAUCUAUAUAUGUCAUAGUUGGAAACUUUAUCAUAAAAUUCUAGACACUUGGGAUGUAUUAUUUUGAGUAUAAUAAUCUAGAUAUUUGGGAUGUAAUUAUUAAUAUGGUGUAAUUAAAUAUAUUUGGUUUGCUAGUUUAAAGUGAUA